rnacentral:rRNA from 1 species
AGGCGGUUCUCUAAGAGGCCCGCUAUCGGAAUGGGUACAAUUUAAACCCUUUAACGAGGACCUAUGAGAGGGCAAGUCUGGUGCCAGCAGCCGCGGUAAUUCCAGCUCUCAAGGUGUAUAUCGCCAUUGCUGCGGUUAAAAAGCUCGUAGUUGGAUCUGCGCCUUCGGACUCGGUCCUCCCAACGGGUGCGAACUGAGCUCCAAGGCUACUACUGCUGGUUUUCCCUUGAUGCUCUUCACUGGGUGUCUUGGGUGGCUAGCGAGUUUACUUUGAAAAAAUUAGAGUGCUCAAAACAGGCUAUUGCCUGAAUACCGGUGCAUGGAAUAAUAGAAUAGGAUCUCGGUCCUAUUUUGUUGGUUUUCGGAACUGAGAUAAUGGUUAAGAGGGACAGACGGGGGCAUUCGUAUCGCUGCGUGAGAGGUGAAAUUCUUGGACCGCAGCGAGACGCCCAACUGCGAAAGCAUUUGCCAAGAAUGUCUUCGUUAAUCAAGAACGAAAGUCAGAGGUUCGAAGGCGAUCAGAUACCGCCCUAGUUCUGACCGUAAACGAUGCCAACUAGCGAUCCGCCGGUGGUAAUUACGCCCCGGCGGGGAGCUUCCCGGAAACGAAAGUCUUCCGGUUCCGGGGGAAGUAUGGUUGCAAAGCUGAAACUUAAAGGAAUUGACGGAAGGGCACCACCAGGAGUGGAGCUUGCGGCUUAAUUUGACCCAACACGGGAAAACUCACCCGGCCCGGACACCGUAAGGAUUGACAGAUUGAGAGCUCUUUCUUGAUUCGGUGGUUGGUGGUGCAUGGCCGUUCUUAGUUGGUGGAGCGAUUUGUCUGGUUUAUUCCGAUAACGAACGAGACUCUGGCCUACUAACUAGUGACAGAAUUAUUGCUGUUCUGGUUACUUCUUAGAGGGACAAGUGGUGUUCAGCCACACGAAAUUGAGCAAUAACAGGUCUGUGAUGCCCUUAGAUGUCCGGGGCUGCACGCGUGCUACACUGGAGGAAACAGCAUGCAAAACCAUUGCUGAGAGGCAUUGGUAAACCCGAGAAAAUCUUCCGUGAUCGGGAUCGGGAAUUGCAAUUAUUUCCCUUGAACGAGGAAUUCCCAGUAAGUGUGGGUCAUCAGCUCGCGCUGAUUACGUCCCUGCCCUUUGUACACACCGCCCGUCGCUGCCCGGGACUGAGCCGUUUCGAGAAAAGCGGGGACUGCUGCUGUUGGGGCUUUCGGGCCUUGGCUUCGGUGGAAACCGCUUUAAUCGCAGUGGCUUGAACCGGGCAAAAGUCGUAACAAGGUUUCCGUAGGUGAACCUGCGGAAG